rnacentral:rRNA from 1 species
GACGAACGCUGGCGGCGUGCCUAAUACAUGCAAGUAGAACGCUGAAGGAGGAGCUUGCUUCUCUGGAUGAGUUGCGAACGGGUGAGUAACGCGUAGGUAACCUGCCUGGUAGCGGGGGAUAACUAUUGGAAACGAUAGCUAAUACCGCAUAAUAGUAGAUGUCGCAUGACAUUUGCUUAAAAGGUGCAAUUGCAUCACUACCAGAUGGACCUGCGUUGUAUUAGCUAGUUGGUGAGGUAACGGCUCACCAAGGCAACGAUACAUAGCCGACCUGAGAGGGUGAUCGGCCACACUGGGACUGAGACACGGCCCAGACUCCUACGGGAGGCAGCAGUAGGGAAUCUUCGGCAAUGGACGGAAGUCUGACCGAGCAACGCCGCGUGAGGGAAGAAGGGUUUCGGAUCGUAAAGCUCUGUUGUAAGAGAAGAACGAGUGUGAGAGUGGAAAGUUCACACUGUGACGGUAUCUUACCAGAAAGGGACGGCUAACUACGUG